rnacentral:rRNA from 1 species
UAACGGCCGCGGUAUUUUGACCGUGCGAAGGUAGCGUAAUCACUUGUCUUUUAAAUAAAGACCUGUAUGAAUGGCAUAACGAGGGCUAUGCUGUCUCCUUUUUCACGUCAAUGAAAUUGAUCUGCCCGUGCAGAAGCGGGCAUAAAUACAUAAGACGAGAAGACCCUAUGAAGCUUUAAACAACAAGUAGGCCACGUUAAGCUCCCUCAAUAAAGAGGACAAAACAAAACGGACUCUGCUUCUUUGUUUUUGGUUGGGGCGACCGCGGAGAAAAAUUAAUCCCCCGCGUGGAAUGGGCAUUCCCUUGAAGUAAGACCAGCAGGCCUAAAAUCCAGAAGAUCUGACCAAAAGAUCCGGCAACGCCGAUCAACGGACCCAGUUACUCUAGGGAUAACAGCGCAAUCCCCUUUUAGAGCUCACAUCGACAAGGGGGUUUACGACCUCGAUGUUGGAUCAGGGCCUCCUAAUGGUGCAGCCGCUAUUAAGGGUUCGUUUGUUCAACGAUUAAAGUCCUACGUGAUCUGAGUUCAGACCGGAGAAAUCCAGGUCAGUUUCUAUCUAUGAUAGCGCU